CGGCAGCUUAACACAUGCAAGUCGAGCGGUAACAGAGAUAGCUUGCUAUCUGCUGACGAGCGGCGGACGGGUGAGUAAUGCUUGGGAAUAUGCCUUUGAGUGGGGGACAACAGUUGGAAACGACUGCUAAUACCGCAUAACGUCUACGGACCAAAGGGGGGGAUGCUUCGGCACCUCUCGCUCAUUGAUUAGCCCAAGUGAGAUUAGCUAGUUGGUAAGGUAAUGGCUUACCAAGGCGACGAUCUCUAGCUGGUUUGAGAGGAUGAUCAGCCACACUGGGACUGAGACACGGCCCAGACUCCUACGGGAGGCAGCAGUGGGGAAUAUUGCACAAUGGGCGAAAGCCUGAUGCAGCCAUGCCGCGUGUGUGAAGAAGGCCUUCGGGUUGUAAAGCACUUUCAGCGAGGAGGAAAGGUUAGUAGUUAAUAGCUGCUAGCUGUGACGUUACUCGCAGAAGAAGCACCGGCUAACUUCGUGCCAGCAGCCGCGGUAAUACGAGGGGUGCAAGCGUUAAUCGGAAUUACUGGGCGUAAAGCGUGCGUAGGUGGUUUGUUAAGCAAGAUGUGAAAGCCCCGGGCUCAACCUGGGAACUGCAUUUUGAA
rnacentral:rRNA from 1 species